GGGAAGCAGCAAAGGGGGGAACGCAGAGGGCACGCGCGGGGAGGCCGGAGAGGAGGCCGGGGGGAGGGGCAGGGAAAGAAAAAGCGGGGCGGGGGCCACCCGGGGUGGUGACGCUUCGGAAUUGGGCCGUCUUUACCUUUCGGUUAAGUGACUUAAAAUUUUUGAAUGAUAUCUGAACGUAUUUAAAUUUAUUUGGUACGUCUUUGUAAUAUCAAAUGUUUAUUAGGUGUGGUCAUCCUCAUGUGACUCACGUCUAUAAUCUUUCAUCUAAUGACCUCAAAUCAGGUAAGAGUACCCG
rnacentral:misc_RNA from 1 species